rnacentral:rRNA from 1 species
GACGAACGCUGGCGGCGUGCUUAACACAUGCAAGUCGAACGAGUGGCGAACGGGUGAGUAACACGUGGGUGACCUGCCCUGCACUUCGGGAUAAGCCUGGGAAACUGGGUCUAAUACCGGAUAGGGUGGGAUGGGCCGGGGGCCUAUCGGCUUGUUGGGGGGGUAAUGGCUACCAAGGCGCGACGGGUAGCCGGCCUGAGAGGGUGGACGGCCACAUUGGGACUGAGACCCGCCCCAGACUCCUCCGGGAGGCAGCAGUGGGGACUAUUGCCCAAUGGGCGCAAUCCUGAUGCAGCCAUGCCGCGUGUAUGAAGAAGGCCUUGGGGUUGUAAAGUACUUUCAGCGGGGAGGCGUUACCCGCAGAAGAAGCACCGGCUAACUCCGUGCCAGCAGCCGCGGUAAUAC